CAGAGAAUAGUUUAAGUGUAGAAUACCAGCUUUGGGAGUUGGAGAUAAAGGUUCAAGUCCUUUUUUUCUGA
rnacentral:tRNA from 1 species